AAGUUUCUUAAAUUAAGCUUUAACUUAAACUCAUCGUAGGGCGAUAAUUUAUUGCUGAGUAAUCAUCAUCCUUGGGCAAUUUUCGGCACAAAUUGAGUAAUGCCAUAAUUUUAUUGAUUAAUAUAUAAUUACGUCUGUAUAUAGUAUAUAAGCACAAUUUUCUAUGUAAAUAUGAAACAUUUAUAAACAGGAACCAGGCUGAUGAAACGAGCUAUUUUUUUAAUCUUAGCAUUAACAAACAAUAUACUGCAAACUUUUUUUUUGUAUUUCCAGUUAUAAUUUAAAUGAAAAUUGUUUAUUGUUUAAAUAAAGGACAACAAAUUAAAUAUAUCUAAAAUGGUUAACGAAUUCAAUAGUUAGAUACGUCGAGGUAAUUGAUGGACCAAAAUUAAGAGACGUAAUUAAACGAUUCUAGCAUAGAACUUAAUUAGUAUGCACGUAAGAGACUCAAUCGAUUGUACAUAUCGAAUGAUUUAAAUGUGUAGAAGGUAACGAUUGCUGGCUGAAGCUGAAUCCACGUUUCUAGAGAACAAUACACCAGCGAUUUUCAAGACUGCCUUUUGCGGCCGACGGACGCAAAGGGUCGCAGCCCGACGGGAAGAAGUGGCCCGGAUGAUCAGCGCAUAAAGGCGAUCGACACCCGCGGCGUCAAACAUCGGCGAGUCUAGUGGCACCCGAAAAACUGCUCGACUGCACAUCGGCGCUCGAUUUCCGGCCGGGCACAAAAGUGUUUCCCGCAGCGCGAGUAUCGAUCCGAGCCAUUGGAAAACAAUGGGAUUUAUUUGCCAAUUAGACAAUUAGGUCGGCUGAAAGGGCGCAGGGUAGCACGGCGGGCAACCGAAACUUGGCCGUACCGCGAAUCCUGGAUUACACGGUCCAGCGGCGGAGUGUUUGACGAGCAUACACAUACCGCGGUUUAAUGUUGACCUUUCGGCCCCAGCCAGCGGGAUUCUGCGUGCAAAUUAACGAUGUUUGUUCUCAACCCUUUGGCUUGCCUUGAUUCGCCGAUCUCAUUGCCCUGCUGCGCUCUCCCCCCCCCGGUUACCGUCGCGCCCGGUUAGUUCUUUCCUCCGCGAUUUCAUCCUCUAGUCGGAUGCUCGCGAAACGCUGGAAAGACGAACCUUCCUUCGCUCUUUUCUUAUUAUUAACAUAAGCGACGAUGAAUAUAAUAAUAAUAAUAAUCCAUCAUUUCAGUGUUACAGCCAAGAAAUGUGGACUCGUUUAUAUUUACUGUAUAAAUAAAAACAAAGCAGAGGAUUUUUCUAAUGAAAAUGCGAAAAUGAUUCGAUGAGGUCUCGAAAUUUAAAGUCGAACGGCGGGGAACGAUCAAACUGGAGUCGUUCUUGCUGUGGGAUUAAAUUAGCCAGCGAAGUAAAUGUCGAUUACGGUUGAAUUAUGAUAUCUCGCCACGCCUCCGUGUUGGUUUCUCGCGGACACGUGCUCCGCGCGUCUGCGGCUCCUUCUUUUACGAAAUCGUUUCCCGCAGAUAGAGUCCGGUUACGCGGUUUUCGCUUAUUCGACAAACGGCCGGACGUGACGUCACUGGGACCACGCGAGCACGAUUGCAGAUGCUAGAUGCGACCCGACACCCGUACUCCUCUGCCUUCACGUCGCGAAUUCACUACCCAGAUCGUGCCGCGGCCACGCGUUACGUGACACUCCGGUACAAGUCGUCUUCCAUGUCAAAAUCUGCGACGCACUAUUUCAUGAACGUCUGAGAAUUAUAAAAGUGAUUAAGGUCACUUCCGUUGGAGCUAAUUAACAAUCUACGUAAUUUAAGUCUCACUGAAUGUAACGUAAGACUAAGUCAGUCCUGUAUACUUUUUUUUAUAUUAAUCCUUGUCUUUUGGCCUUGGAUGGACUUUUUUUUUAUCAUAUCUAUUAGUUAGCAUAGACAUAUAAGAAUAGAAAGAACGUCCAAGUGGGAGAGAGAUAGAAACUGAGAAGAAUGUUUUGUUCAGCUAUCUAUCUUGCAUGGGAGCAACAAAAAUACACUGAACGCUCUCUUAGUUAACAGAAGUAUAACUUUUAAUUAGAAUG